rnacentral:rRNA from 1 species
AUACAUGCAGUCGAGCGGACUGCUUAAAAGCUUGCUUUUAUGAAGUCAGCGGCGGACGGGUGAGUAACACGUGGGCAACCUGCCUGUAAGACUGGGAUAACUUCGGGAAACCGGAGCUAAUACCGGAUAAUACUAGGAACCUCCUGGUUCCUUGUUGAAAGAUGGUUUCGGCUAUCACUUACAGAUGGGCCCGCGGCGCAUUAGCUAGUUGGUGAGGUAACGGCUCACCAAGGCGACGAUGCGUAGCCGACCUGAGAGGGUGAUCGGCCACACUGGGACUGAGACACGGCCCAGACUCCUACGGGAGGCAGCAGUAGGGAAUCUUCCACAAUGGACGAAAGUCUGAUGGAGCAACGCCGCGUGAGCGAUGAAGGCCUUCGGGUCGUAAAGCUCUGUUGUUAGGGAAGAACAAGUGCGAGAGUAACUGCUCGCACCUUGACGGUACCUAACCAGAAAGCCACGGCUAACUACGUGCCAGCAGCCGCGGUAAUACGUAGGUGGCAAGCGUUGUCCGGAAUUAUUGGGCGUAAAGCGCGCGCAGGCGGUUUCUUAAGUCUGAUGUGAAAGCCCACGGCUCAACCGUGGAGGGUCAUUGGAAACUGGGGAACUUGAGUGCAGAAGAGGAGAGU